rnacentral:rRNA from 1 species
GACGAACGCUGGCGGCGUGCUUAACACAUGCAAGUCGAACGCUGAACCCGCUUUGGUGGGGGAGGAGUGGCGAACGGGCGAGUAACACGUGGGCAACCUGCCCCCGGCCCUGGGAUAACUCCAAGUAAUUCGCGCUAAUACCGGAUGUGACCGCUGGCAGCAUGGUCUGGUGGUGGUAAGGGUUUCCGGCUGGGGAUGGGCCGGCGGCCUAUCAGCUGGUUGGUGGGGUAGUGACCUACUAAGGCGGCGACGGGCAGCCGGCCGGAGAGGAUGAGCGGCCGCACUGGGACUACGGCGCGGCGGAGACGACUACGGGGGGCAGCAGUGGGGAAUAUUGCGCAGUGAGCGGAGACAGGACGCAGCAGCGCCGCGUGGGGGAUGAAGGACGUCGGGGUGUAGUCAUCUGCCUGCAGGGAAGAAGAGGAAAUGACGGUACCUGGAGAAGAAGCACCGGCCAACUACGUG